rnacentral:rRNA from 1 species
AACGAACGCUGGCGGCGCGCUUAACACAUGCAAGUCGAACGAGAAGGCGUAGCAAUACGCUUGUACAGUGGCGAACGGGUGGGGAAUACAUGGGUAACCUACCCUCGAGUGGGGGAUAACCCGCCGAAAGGCGGGCUAAUACCGCGUACGCUUCCGAUCUUGCGGGAUUGGAAGGGAAAAGCUGUCCCUUGGGGAUGGCGCUCAAGGAUGGGCUCAUGUCCUAUCAGCUUGUUGGAGGGUAACGGCCUACCAAGGCAUCGACGGGUAGCUGGUCUGAGAGGACGAUCAGCCACACUGGCACUGCGACACGGGCCAGACUCCUACGGGAGGCAGCAGUGAGGAAUAUUGCGCAAUGGGCGAAAGCCUGACGCAGCGACGCCGCGUGGGGGAUGAAGGUCUUCGGAUUGUAAA